rnacentral:rRNA from 1 species
GAUGAACGCUGGCGGCGUGCCUAAUACAUGCAAGUCGAGCGAAGCGGGGACGGGUGAGUAACACGUGGAUAACCUCCUAUAAGACUGGGCUAACUUCGGGAAACCGGAGCCAAACCGGCUACUUAUAGAUUGAUCCGCGCUGCAUUAGCUAGUUGGUAAGGUAACGGCUUACCAAGGCAACGAUGCAUAGCCGACCUGAGAGGGGUAGCGGCAAGACGGGAACUGAGACACGGUCCAGACGCCUACGAGAGGCAGCAGGAGGGAAUCUUCCGGAAGGGGCGAAAGCCUGACAGGGCAACGCCGCGUGAGUGAUGAAGGUCUUCGGAGCGUAAAACUCUGUUAUUAGGGAAGCGGUACCUAAUCAGAAAGCCACGGCUAACUACGUGCCAGCAGCCGCGGUAAUAC